rnacentral:tRNA from 1 species
GGUUCUAUAGUGUAGCGGUUAGCAUGUCUGCUUUACACACAGAAGGUCCUGGAUUUGUGCCCCACUGGAGUCA